rnacentral:rRNA from 1 species
UUAUUUGAGAGUUUGAUCCUGGCUCAGGAUGAACGCUGGCGGCGUGCCUAACACAUGCAAGUUGAGCGAUUUACUUCGGUAAAGAGCGGCGGACGGGUGAGUAACGCGUGGGUAACCUACCCUGUACACACGGAUAACAUACCGAAAGGUAUGCUAAUACGGGAUAAUAUAUUUGAGAGGCAUCUCUUGAAUAUCAAAGGUGAGCCAGUACAGGAUGGACCCGCGUCUGAUUAGCUAGUUGGUAAGGUAACGGCUUACCAAGGCGACGAUCAGUAGCCGACCUGGGAGGGUGAUCGGCCACAUUGGAACUGAGACACGGUCCAAACUCCUACGGGAGGCAGCAGUGGGGAAUAUUGCACAAUGGGCGAAAGCCUGAUGCAGCAACGCCGCGUGAGUGAUGAAGGCCUUCGGG